AUGGGCAAGGACACUAUUGCUGAUUUACUAACCUCUAUAAGAAAUGCGGACAUGAAUAAAAAAGGAACAGUUCAAGUAGUAUCUACAAAUAUUACCGAAAACAUUGUUAAAAUACUUCUACGAGAGGGUUUUAUUGAAAGUGUUCGGAAACAUCAGGAACAUAACAGAUAUUUCUUGGUUUCAACUUUGCGACAUCAAAAGAGAAAGACUAGAAAAGGAAUAUAUAGAACAAGAACCUUUUUAAAGCGUAUCAGCCGACCCGGCUUACGAAUUUAUACCAACUAUCAAGGAAUUCCUAAAGUUUUGGGUGGAAUGGGAAUUGCUAUUCUAAAACUUAGGUAA
rnacentral:rRNA from 1 species